AUGGCCUUGAGGGGCGCCGCGUCCUCGCCGUCGGCCUCUUCGUCUUCACCACCGCGGCGUCGCGCCGUCUCUUCGAUUGCGGUCGGGGGCUCGACAUUGACAUGCCCCCGGAAUGGCCGUGAGGGGCGGCGUGACCUCGCCGUCGGCCUCGCCUUCUUCACCACCAUCGUUGCGACGCCGGCUGCACGUCCGCGCGCACGCCGCGCGCGGGGCCUCGUUUCGGUCGACCGUGGCCGUCCACGCGCCGCUCGCGCCUGCUUUCCUUCGUGUUGCGCCUUGCUCCGGCCUCCAUAUAUCAUCUACAAGCUAGCUAGAUGCAUCAGUCAACCAUGGUCACGCGUUGCCUAUACAGUUGACGCCCAAGACAUACUCCACCAAAAAUCUCUACGCUGCGUCAUGGCCGCGCCUCCCUGUGCAUGCUGCCAUCCCUCGGCUUGCCUUGGCCACGCCCGUGCGCUCCGUGCCCGCUGCUAG
rnacentral:rRNA from 1 species